AUUGAACGCUGGCGGCAUGCCUUACACAUGCAAGUCGAACGGCAGCACGGGGCAACCUGGUGGCGAGUGGCGAACGGGUGAGUAAUGCAUCGGAACGUGCCAUUUGAGUGGGGGAUAACGUAGCGAAAGUUGCGCUAAUACCGCAUAUUCUGUGAGCAGGAAAGCAGGGGACCGCAAGGCCUUGCGCUCUUUGAGCGGCCGAUGUCAGAUUAGCUAGUUGGUGAGGUAAAGGCUUACCAAGGCGACGAUCUGUAGCGGGUCUGAGAGGAUGAUCCGCCACACUGGAACUGAGACACGGUCCAGACUCCUACGGGAGGCAGCAGUGGGGAAUUUUGGACAAUGGGCGCAAGCCUGAUCCAGCCAUGCCGCGUGAGUGAAGAAGG
rnacentral:rRNA from 1 species